rnacentral:rRNA from 1 species
AGCGUACUCUCCGGAGUGACGGGUACACUGUGGGGACCGCCGCUGCUAAAGCGGAGGAAGGAAUGGGCAACGGUAGGUCAGUAUGCCCCGAAUAUCCCGGGCUACACGCGAGCUACAAUGGUUGGUACAAUGGGUAUCUACCCCGAAAGGGGACGGGAAUCUCCUAAAACCAAUCUUAGUUCGGAUUGAGGGCUGCAACUCGCCCUCAUGAAGCUGGAAUCCGUAGUAAUCGCGUUUCAACAGAACGCGGUGAAUACGUCCCUGCUCCUU